AGUUUAGUGGCGAACGGGUGAGUAACGCGUGAGUAACCUGCCCAAAAGUGGGGAAUAAUGUUUGGAAACGGACACUAAUACCGCAUAACAUAUAAUUAUCGCAUGAUAAAUAUAUCAAAGGAUUAAUUCGCUUAUGGAUGGACUCGCGUCCGAUUAGAUAGUUGGUGAGGUAACGGCCCACCAAGUCGACGAUCGGUAGCCGGACUGAGAGGUCGAUCGGCCACAUUGGGACUGAGACACGGCCCAGACUCCUACGGGAGGCAGCAGUGGGGGAUAUUGCACAAUGGGCGAAAGCCUGAUGCAGCAACGCCGCGUGAGGGAAGACGGUUUUCGGAUUGUAAACCUCUUUUCUUAGUGAAGAAACAAAUGACGGUAGCUAAGGAAUAAGCAUCGGCUAACUACGUGCCAGCAGCCGCGGUAAUACGUAGGAUGCAAGCGUUGUCCGGAAUUACUGGGUGUAAAGGGAGCGCAGGCGGGUAUUUAAGUCAGCUGUGAAAACCAAGGGCUCAACCUUUGAAUUGCAGUUGAAACUGAGUAUCUUGAGUGGAGUAGAGGUAAGCGGAAUUCCGAGUGUAGCGGUGAAAUGCGUAGAUAUUCGGAGGAACACCGGUGGCGAAGGCGGCUUACUGGGCUCUAACUGACGCUGAGGCUCGAAAGUGUGGGUAGCAAACAGGA
rnacentral:rRNA from 1 species